rnacentral:rRNA from 1 species
UGGGGAAUAUUGGACAAUGGGCGAAAGCCUGAUCCAGCCAUGUCGCGUGUGUGAAGAAGGUCUUCGGAUUGUAAAGCACUUUAAGUUGGGAGGAAGGGCAGUAAGCGAAUACCUUGCUGUUUUGACGUUACCGUCAGAAUAAGCACCGGCUAACUCUGUGCCAGCAGCCGCGGUAAUACAGAGGGUGCAAGCGUUAAUCGGAAUUACUGGGCGUAAAGCGCGCGUAGGUGGUUCGUUAAGUUGAAUGUGAAAGCCCCGGGCUCAACCUGGGAACUGCAUCCAAAACUGGCGAGCUAGAGUAGGGCAGAGGGUGGUGGAAUUUCCUGUGUAGCGGUGAAAUGCGUAGAUAUAGGAAGGAACACCAGUGGCGAAGGCGACCACCUGGGCUCAUACUGACACUGAGGUGCGAAAGCGUGGGGAGCAAACAGG